CACAUCUCUGCGAUUUGAAAAGGAGCAACUUGGAAGAGUCUGAUUUCCUGCUUGACGUCUGGCUGCAUUUUGUCAGACUUGAAUCGUUCGGUGGAGGAGAACCGUAGAAAACUGUUCAAGAAUUCCUUUUGCUCUUCUGUUCCCUGUGGCUUUGGAAGUGGAGGAACUGGGGUCACAUCCUACCUUUGUCAUCAACAGCAAGUAAGUAACCUUUUCGAUGUUGUUCUCCUCUCUGGGUUUCCGUUUCAUCAUCAGUGAAAUGAAUA
rnacentral:lncRNA from 1 species